GUUUUCACAGCCCAGAAGGUCAGCUACACAGGAACAUAGACCGAUGGAAGUACAGUAAGAAAGACUGAAACACUCUACCCUCAAACAUCUGCUGGAAAGCCGUGGACGAUUGGCCAGUAACUGCAAGGGACAAGGGACAUCAUCGCAGAGCCAGUCGAGAGGGAUGGAGUUGAAGGAACCGAAAGAGCCACGUAACUGAGAGGCCCAGUAUAACAGACUGAAC